rnacentral:lncRNA from 1 species
AAAGAAAAGGUAAAGAAUUACCAAAUAUGACUAAUAUAUAUAUAUUUGACAAUUAAUGAUUUUAAUAAUAAAGAUUUGAUAACAAUUUGUGUCUCCUCCAUUAUUUUUUCGUAUAAUAAUUAAUUGUUUUAAUAAUAAAGAUUUGAUAAAUUAAAUAAUCAAAUUAAAUAUAAAAUUUAAAUUUAGAUUUUUCAUAUAUGUUAUAUUUUUAAUUUUGAAAAUGACUAUAAACUACUAAAAGUGUUAAAAUUCUUAUGUUAAAAAAUUUAUGAUCUAUGGUUUAACUUUUCUGUUAUAACAAAAAUAGAAAAAAUAUUUUAAUUUCAAAAUUUGCAAUGAAUUUUCAAGAAAAUUGAUGAAUUAUAAAAUUAUUAAAAGUCUCACAUUGAAAAAUUUGUUAUCAAUGAUUUAAAAAUUUUAUUAUAAGAAGAUAUGAAUGAUCAUAAAACAUAUGAUUAUGAAGUCUCAUUUAAUAGAUAACCAUAUUAAAAUAUACUAUAUAUCUAUGUUAGUAUCAUUUAAAUUAAAUUAUAUACAAAAUAGAUAAAGGUGGUUAUUUAGAUUUACUUACCAUAAAAUGAUAGUAAAUAAAUAAAAGUGAUUUGUUCGAUUUAUGUGUUUGCACCAGUUUAAUUAUAUACCUAAUAAUUAAUGUUUCUCAAUUAUUCAAUAUAUAUUUAUAAUUUGUUAUUACAUAAUGUAAAAGAACGUAAAAUAAGUAAUAGUUUAUAAAAUAAUUUGUAUAUUGUAUAUACAACGUUCAUUCCGCACAAGAUACUUAUAAAGGGUUAUUAUUCGGCAUGUCUUUAUUUGUUAACUAUUAUUAAAAUGCAGAAAAAUGUAUAGUAGAAUUUAUAAUCACCAGAUAUAAUUGUUUUUAUAAAUUCACCCCGCACAAGGUGCAUGUUAUCACUUACUGAUAAAUUAUUAUUUAAUUCUUACGUAUCAUAAACUUUGAAAUUUCUUUGUAUACUAUAUUCAUGAUAUAGAAAUAAAACUUAAAAAUCACUCAAUAAUCUCUUUUCAAUUAUAAAAUUAAUAAUUUUACUUCAUUAAUAUUUAGUUAUGUAUUUUCCAUUUUUUCUAAUUUUUAAAUUUCAGACAACAACACAGUAUAUAUAUGAAUUAUCUUUUUAUAUUAAAAUAUAUUUUAUAUUUUGGAUAAUUCUUAUAAUUGUUAAUUUAAAUCAUUUAUCUAAUAAAUAGUUACAAUUUAUUUUUAUUUUGUGACUAAUUUAUAUAUUUUAUUCCUUAAGGGUAUAAACGAUAUCUAACUAUUAAGCUGAGAACAAAAAUACGAAAAACCAUUUCGCAAAUAAGAGUAUAGAUAUUAUCUUUAUUUAUUAUAUUUAAUAAUUAAAUAAUUAUAUUUAUUUAUAUACAGUAAUAAAAAUCACUUAAAAUAAAAGGUAAACUUGCAUAAAUAAUAAUCAAGUAAAAGAAAAUUAACUAUUUAUUAUCAUUAUCUAAAAUAUUAAUUAAUAUCUUAUUAUCCAAAAUUAAUAAAAACGGAUAUAUGUAUAUAUAUUUAUAUAUUUAUCAAGUUAAUAUAAAUAAAAUAGAAUUAUUAACCAAUUGUAGUUGUUAAAAUAAUCAUUAUCAUUUUUAGUAUAAAAAUGUUUAUAAAAAAAUAUAUAUUUUAUCAUAUACUUUCAUUAUGAGUAAAAGAUGGUGAUAAAAUUAAGGGGGAUUUGCCAAAAAUGACUCAAAACUUGAUUUUGAAUACAAAAGUGUACCCCAAAUUCAAUCAAAUGCAAAAGUAACCCAAAAGCCUAGUGAAAUUACAACAGCCCCCUUAUGAACAAACAAAAAAACUGUAUUCAGUUUUACCAUUAUAAACCUCUGUUAGAGAAGACUUCUUUGUAAGUCUUCUCUACGAUGACUUCUUUGUAUGUCUUCUCUACGAUGACUUCUUUGUAAGUCUUCUCUAUGAUGACUUCUUUGUAAGUCUUUUCGUUCAGUAGAUCUUAAAAAUAAUUUUAUAAUUUUAUAAAAAAUAUUUUGAUGGGUAAAAAAUUGAAAUCAUGUAAUAAUAAACAUUUCUCAAUGAUGUAAAUUUAGUUCAUCUGAAAUUGAAUUAUUUUCAACAUAGAUGAGUGAAUGUAUAUUGGCUCAUGAGUCAUUGGUUUAGGGUUUGGUAACAUAUGUUAUAGUAUUGUAUGUAUCUUUAGGGUUAGAUUCUGAAAUCUUACCUUCAUUUUUUUUUUUUUCAAAUUGACUCAUAUAUAUUUAGUAACUAUCUAAUAACUUGAUUUAAACACUUUCUAAGUUUUUUUUUUAAGUUUAAGAAAGUGUUUUUUGCAUAGUUAAUUGAUUUUAGGAUCUGGAAGACUCAUAGAAGACUUAAAAAGAAGUCUUCAGACACAUCUCGCCUAAAUUUUAGUAGAAUUUAUGGUUCCCGCCUAAAUUUUGGAAUAAUUUAGGUUUCCCGCCUAAAUCAAAGUCUUCCAUAAGUUUUUCAGGAGUCUUCCAUAAGUCUUCCAGGAGUCUUCCAUAAGUCUUCUCAUGGGUUAGAUCUUAAAAAUAAUUUAAAAUUUUAUAAAAAAUAUUUUAAUGGGUUAAAAUUUGAAAUCAUGUAAUAAUAAACAUUUCUCAAUGAUGUAAAUUUAGUUCAUCUGAAAUUGAAUUAUUUUCAACAUAGAUGAAUGAAUGUAUAUUGGCUCAUGAGUCAUUGGUUUAGGGUUUGGUAACAUAUGUUAUACUAUUGUAUGUAUCUUUAGGGUUAGAUUCUGAAAUCUUACCUUCAUUUUGUUUCUUUUUCAAAUUGACCAAUAUAUGUUUAGUAACUAUCUAAUAACUUGAUUUAAACACUUUCUAAGUUUUUUUUUUAAGUUUAAGAAAGUUGUUUUUUGCAUAGUUAAUUGAUUUUAGGGUGUGGAAGACUCACAGAAGAAUUAAAGAGAAGACUUCAGACACAUCCCGCCUAAAUUUUAGUAGAAUUUAUGGUUCCCGCCUAAAUUUUGGAAUAAUUUAGUUUUCUCGCCUAAAUCAAAGUCUUCCAAAAGUCUUCCAGGAGUCUUCUAAAAGUCUUCCAGGGGUCUUCCAUAAGUCUUCCAGGAGUCUUCCAUAAGUCUUCCAGAAGUCUUUAGGGUCAAAAAUAUUUAACCUAAUUGGAAUUUUUGUCUCCAUAUAUAAAAAAUAUAUACACAUUAUCUUUCUUCCUCUCAAAUGACUGUAACAAAAAUGUAAUGUUUCUCACUCUAAAACUCUCCAACGUCUCUCUAAUCUCUUUGAACAUCAAAACACCAAACUUUAUAUCCAUUUCUCUUUUUUUUCUAUGUCUUCUCACUAAUUUAUCUUCUUUUUGUAGGUUUUUCAUUACAUGGUUCUCAUCUUUCACUCUUUCAAAGGUAAAUCUCUAAAUUUUGGAUAUGAAUUUAUGUGUGUGUUUAUAUGUUAGAUUCUAAAAAGCUAUAGAUUCAACAUAGUGUGACUGUUUUGUUUAUUUUGUAAGCAUAAAAUUUUCAUUUUUGAGGUUUUUCUCUGUUUAGAAGUCAUUUGAAUGGUUUUGAAUUUGCAGAUUUUUCCAAAUCUGAGAGACUUUGAAAGACUUCUCAGAAGACUCUCGGAAGAUUUCUCAGAAGCCUUCUUAGAAAGUUUUCUAAUGCAUUAUAAGCUAGAAGACUUCCCACAAAGUCUUCAGGAAGUCUUCGAAGUCUUCUGCCUAAAGUGGUAUAAAUUUUUUGCAAAAGUAACCCACGCAGACAUAUUCCGGCAUUGAGAAGACUUAGGGAAGACUUUCAGAAGACUUCUAUAGAAGUUUUCUCGAGGAAGACUUCCUUAGAAAUCUUCUACAAAAAGUCAAAUUUCUGACCAACUUCGGUCAAAUUUAAAAGUAACAUGUUUAUCCGAGAAGACUUCUAAAGAAGUUUUCUCUGGGAAUUUCGAAUUUUUUUGUUUACAGAAGACUUCUUGGGAAAUCUUCUAAUGUAUUUUAUGCUAGAAGACUUCCCACGAAGUCUUCAGAAAGUCUUCCAAAGUCUUCUGCCCAAAGUGAUACAAAGAGAUGAUGUGAAGUGGAGUCCAAGCUUAUCUAUGUUGAGGAAUAAUAUCUAGUUGUGUAAUAAUUUUGUUUAUCGUCUUUUUAUGAUUUGUAUGUGUAAUAUUUUAGUUUUGAAUUAUUUUGUAAACUUUAAGAGAUGUUAGUCAAAAGAAAGGUAAAUACGUUCAAGUUUUGCCAAAUGUACUUGACUUCAUUAAACCUAUUGAUGCAACAUACCAAAAAAAUAUUUUAAUCAUUCUACCCACACAUAACAAUAUACAACAACACAAAAACUUAGUAAAAUUUGCUAAAACUAAGAGAGAAGACUUCUCAAGAAACCUUAGUCAAAUUCACAAAAGAUCAAAAUUGAAUUUUAAGUGAAAGUUGAAAUUUUAAAUCUCAUGGAAGUUAAAAAUUGUAUCUUAUGAGGAAGACAACACAAACAGAGAACAUCAACUCAAUAAAACAAAAUCAUCGGAGAAGACUUCUUAUGAAGUCUUCUACAAGUCUUCUAUGAGGAAGAUUUACAGAAGACUUCUCUGUUUAGGUAGAAACAUUAUUAAACAUCAAUGUUUGUAACUUCAUCAUUAUCACCAAUUAAGUUAUAAUUUCGACUCAGUAGUCCCAAUAUUGACUAAUAAACAUGAAUUAGCAAGAAGAUAUUAAAAAUUCAUUUUAAUUUUUGAUAAAUUUGAAGUUUAAUAAAGAUUUACGUAGAAGACUUCUUUUGAAGUCAUCUAUGGAAGACUUCAAAAGAAGUCUACUCUGUGUAGACUUCAAAAGAAGUCUUCUAUUUAGGUCAUUUUUGCAAUUGCAAAUUUACGAAGGAAAACUUCUUAAGAAGUCUACUCUACAGAAGACAUCUUCGCAAGUCUUCUUUUGUAAAUAUUGGCUUACUUUUGAAAUUGAAAUUUUUUCGAAAUUCCCAGAGAAGUUUUCUCGGAUAAAUAGGUUACUUUUGAAUUUGACCGAAGUUAAUCAGAAUUUUGACUUAUUGUAGAAGACUUCUAGGGAAGUCUACCUAGAGAAUACUUCAAAAGAAGUCUUCUCUAAGUCUUCCGGAAGUCUUCUCAACGUCGCAAGAAGUCUGCUGGGUUACUUUUGCAAUUGACUAUAUUUGACUUUUCGAGAGAAGACUUCUUUAGAAGUCUUCCGUCGGAUGAUUUCUCUAGAAGUCUUCUCUCGCGAGCAAAUGUUUGACCAAAACCCAGAAUUAAACUCGAGAAGACUUAUAAAUUAAAUGUUUUACUAUUAUUUUUCAAUUGCAAAAGUAACUCACGCAGACAUCUUCCGGCAUUGAGAAGACUUAGGGAAGACUUUCAGAAGACUUCUAUAGAAGUUUUCUCGAGGAAGACUUCCUUAGAAAUCUUCUACAAAAAGUCAAAUUUCUGACCAACUUCGGUCAAAUUUAAAAGUAACAUGUUUAUCCGAGAAGACUUCUAAAGAAGUUUUCUCUGGGAAUUUCGAAUUUUUUUGUUUACAAAGGAAAUUCAGAAGACUUCUAAGGAAGUCUUCUAUUAAAACACACAAAAGGUCAAUUGCAAAAGUAACCUAUGCAUUGACCAGAAGACUUCUAAAGAAGUCUUCUUCGUCGAACAGAUCUGAAAAAUAAAAUGUAGUUCGCGAUUUCAUGCCUUGAACUCGUGAGAUAACUUGCGUGGUUUCUCCAAUCACCCAGAACUUCACCACAACAGCUACCUACUCGUUAAUCACCAAGAAUUUUGAGCUUAUGAAUCUUACAUAAUUUGUAAUCAAAAUCUUCAGUUUUUUUUAUGAAUUUUGAGAGAAAGUGUAAGAUAUGUGGUUUGUGUGGAUAGGAAAUGAGAAAGGAUGAGAAAAAAAUCGAAACUUUAGGGCAUUAACACUCUCAAUUUGGUAGUUCAUGGUGGUUGACGUAUUGAUGUCAAUGGCAAAGUUGUAAAUAUUUGGUGGAAGAUAAGGAUGGUAAGGUAAAAGCAUUAUUUUCGAAAAAAAAAAGCAAUGACAUUUUCGUGAAUAACUAGAACUUCUAGGGUGAAUAGGACAAAACAAAGUUUCAAAAAAAGCAUAGGUUAUUUUUAGGGUUGACUUGAAAUUUUGAGUCAUUUUUGAAAGAACCCCUAAAAUUAACGUCAUUGAUGAAGAUUUUUGGGAGAUUUCACCUAACGUAUAGUUGGAGGCAAUAUAAUAGAAAUAUGUGAUGAUUUCAAAUAAAUAAUGUAUGUCUAAAUUUUUUAAGAUGGUUAUGCCUGUAUAUGCGGGCACAACACAUGGUUUAUUUAUUAUUUGAGAAUAUGUUAAUCAAUAGGUAAGAGUAUUAUAUUUACAACAUAUUUUAAAACUAUAAUAUAUAUUAUUUUCUGUUAAAAUUAAUAUAUAUUUCCCCGAUUUUAUUUAUUUUUUUAUUGGUCAUACACUGAAUAGUAUAUGCAUGAUAUUAAUACAAAAUGUUAAAUAUAAAAAAUGCAUCAAUAUAAAUUUUUAUUUGAUUUUCUCCUUUUAGUUAAAAGUCUCUAGAAAGUUAGAAUUACAAGUAAUAUAUUAUUUAAUUCUAGAUGAUGUAUAUAGUAUAACAUAUUUAUUCUUAAAAUUUUCAUAAUACAUUGAUUAAAAUUCUUGUGCUAAAUAUUUUUUUAGUCAAAAUAAACUAAUUAACAAUUAUUUCAAGCAUAUUUCACCAUUUUAAUUUGACUCAUUUAUACAUAUAUAUUGAUUAAACUAUUUUUGUCAUCAAUUUUUUUUUACCAAUCAAAUUUGUUAUAUUUUAUAGCUAUUUUUCUUUAAGUAUUAGAUUUCAACUAACUAGUUUAAAAAUAUAGAAAAUAGUAUAUAUUUAUGUCACAUUACUUUUACAAUUACAGUAGAAACUCAAUAAAUUAAUAAUGUUGAAACUAUAGUAUUAUAUUAAUUUAUAGAGUUAUUAAUUUAUAAAAAUUUCUUUUUAUAUUCUAUUUUUGGAAUACAUUUUUAUGAUAAGAAAAAUGGUUGAUUUCACUUUUUAUGUUCAUUAAAUUUUAUAAAUUUAUCUUUCAUAUCAAUUUUAUUAUAUUAUUAAUAUAUAUGAUAUAUAUAUAUAUAUAUAUCAUACAAUUUAAAUGUGUGUUAUAGAGAUAAUUUUAUUAAAUAAUAUCAAAUAUUAUGAAAUUUCAAGAAAAGGUAAAAAUAAAAUUUACUGACAAUAUUAAAAAACAACAAAAUACUUUAUUUAUACUUAGAUAAACUAUGUAUAUAUAAAUUAUUAAUUUAUGAUUUUAAAGGGAUUAUAUAUUUACAAGAAAUUUUCUAAAAAAGAAUUAUGAUCUCAUUACCUUAUUGAAUUAUAUCAUAUUUUGAAUCAGGUUUGGAACAGAUGAAAUUAUUAAUUUAUCAUGUUUUUUUAUUUAUGUAGCUUUUAAUGUAUAAGUUAUUUUAUGUAUGUGUGUGUUUAAAUGGUUUCUUUCAUCUACAAGAAUUUUGCUAUCAUUGUGAUAUAAAUUUAGAAAUAUGCUAUUUUGGAGAUUUGCCCUUAAAUAAACCUAUAUAUUUUAAUGUUUGUCUUUUCCAAUUUAAUUAAUGAAUUUUCUUUAGUGAAAUUUAACUUAAUGUAAUUAAAUAAACCUAAAAAUACUGUCUUAUAGUAGGUUCUUCUGUUCGAUCUGGGGUGUUUCGGCGGUUAUGAGAUGGUGAGUGAUGGUUUGUUUCCGUCGAAGACCCAGUGAUGCGUUUGUUGGUUUGAACAGAUCCGGAUCUUCUUUCUGGUGCGCGGUGCAGUACUAAGUCGGCUCUGAUCUAGGGUGUUAAUUCUUCCAUCGGAUUUGUUGAAGCUUUGCUCAGGCAUGUCUCUUUGGAUCCUCGUUGUCGUCAAUCAACCUCGCUCCUGUUCCAUUUGCUUCAAUGGUUGAAGCGGUUCUAUGCGGCGCUUUAUUCCUCCUUUUGAAUGAGUCCGGUUUGGGUAAGGGGUUCUCUUCGAUCCCAUGGGUUUAGCUACUCUGCUUUGAUUUUUCUCAAGCUACAGGUUAGUUCAGUAUUGUGUGGUUCUUUUUUGAACUGUCUUGUUUCUAGCUUCUGGCUUCUUUAAAUCUCUUGGAUGAUGGCUUCUCUUCGAUCAACUACAAGGGUGGAAUUGGUUUGGCUUCAGCUCUGUAUGAUUUACCUAGUGAAGGUGUUGUGCUCCUGGGGGAGCGACGGUUUUGUCAUUAUUUCCGGAUCCUUAUGGAGCAACGGUUUGUGUCGAUUUGCUUCUACCGCAAUUUUUUCGAAGCAGGUUUUUUUUCUUCUUCUUAGCUUAACAAACUAAUGCUACUGUUAGGCCAUCGUAGUUCAAAAUUGGUGGAAUUGAUCUUAUAGAUACGGAUCUCCAGCUGGUUUCUUCUCAAGCUGCUACUGUGGAUAUUAGAAGAACCAAGCUGUUUGAAAAGUUCGUUUAUGCUUUAAUAGUUUGUCCCCUAAUCUUGGAUCUUUGAUGGCAAACAUGCUACAUAAAGCUUCCUUCUUUCAUGCCGGAGAAAGGAGCUAAGCUCAUCUGAUGAUUAGAGUUUAGAGCAUAUAUCUCUCGAUAAAAAUGGUGUUGCUACGAGCAUUGCUAUCAGCGUUACGCGGGUUCAUCGCUACCAAUCUUAUCUUGCGACUUGGGUCCCCACUAGCUACUAAUCCACUAUCCGAACAGAGGCUGUCAAUGGAGUCUCCAUGACUGGUUGACGAGCCUCUAGCAUGUUUCCUUUGUUUAUGCUUUGUUUGGGCACCUACUGGUGUUCUUUAUUUUCUGUUUUUUUCUUCUUUUAAUUUUGGUAACAUAUUCCUCCCAAUUCUCUGUUAAUGAGGUAUGUGUUGUUAGGGAGGCAGUUUGUUCUUUCUAAACUUCACAUUAUAAAAUACCAGUGUUAAAAAAAAAAGAAGAAUUUUGCUAUCAUUUCCGAAGGUAAACCACCGCAGAAAGACACUUUUGUCAAGCAAGUCAAUCAUUUUCUUCGAUUUCAGAUUAAAUCACUAUGAACUACUUAGCCCACAUAUCGACAUCCUACUACCCGAAAAUCUCUCUGAUCUCUAACACCUUUCUAUUUCUCAUAUUCUCCGGAAGAUAUACCAUUGUUUAUCAUUAGGGUUGGUUCAGAAUACUAUGCUCCUAUCAUGCGUCAUGCCGGCUCCGUGCAAUGGAGGUUUUCUUCUAGCGUGAAACCCCUACAAUGAUGUUAGGUAGAAUGACUGCAGUUGUGGCCGUCCUCUAUGGAAAAAUAUAUGUAAUGGGAGGUUGCAGGGCAGAUGAAUCUACGCAUUGGUCAGAGGGUUUCGAUACUAAGAUCAGAAUUGGGAAUCUUUACCUGACCCUGGCCCUGAGCCCCCCUUCUCUAAAAUCAAAGCAAUAGACGUGGUAGAGAGAAGUAUAUGUUAUAUAAGCAAUGAGCAUGACUAUGGUUAUUAUCCGAAUGCAGGUAAAUAGGAUGUUACAGGAAAAAAAAAAGAUUGGUGAUGUGUGACAGAGAAUAUAAGGUAUUGUUUAGUUGAGUAAAGAUUCUUCAGGUUUGUCGUUCUCACGAUUCCCAGUUCAUACGGUUUCUUCCGUACUCGACUGACUUAGUUUUGGUCAAAUAAAAAUGUAAUCAUACUCGGUAAUUGCCAAAAACGUCGUUUUUAGUAUUCUUAAAGCUAAUAGCUUUCUUUGUAUUCAACAAAAUACCAGAUAGCCUACUAAUGUACACAACUUUCACUUCAAUGAAGUAAAGAUAAGUAAGGAUGAACAAAGACAUAGAGAAGCCAUCCUAAAUCCCAAGUUAAAAAGUUCACUCUAUGGCUUCAGAUCAAUUAGGAGUAUAGACUAAACACAACUUGGUAAUAACAAGCAAUAGUCUAAAGAUAUAACCAUAGUAUACCUGACCAAUGAUCUCUCUAUUACAAGUCUGAAAAAAUCUUCAUCAACCACUUAAACUUCUAGUGCUUCGUUUCCUCCACAAAGUUACAGUCUUGGGGAGACUUUUAAGUAGGUUUUGAUGCUUCGGACAGAGCUUGGAAGACUCUUUGUUGGGUCAUAUCCUCGACAAUCAAAACUUUAUCUCGACACUUGGAUCCUGAACCCAAUGAAACUUGUCUUCUUUUCACCCCCAACACCUGUUUCACAUAACAUGUCAGAAUAAGAACGUGACUGAGAAACCCCAAACAAUUACAUCACAAAAUUAAACUAUGUGAGUAGUGACUAAUCCAUGAUUCAGCUAUAUAACGAAAGCUGAAAACUUUUUAUGCGAAGAAGAAACGAGAGAGAGAUUUACAGAGCUCAUGUACUCGAGAAGUGCAGCGUUAGCCUCACCAUCCCUUGCCGGAGCAUCGAUCUGAACGCCCACCGCUUCGUCGCUCACAUCUCCAGACCAAACCGAGUUAACCAAAUCAGUAAAUGUCUCAAAAUCGCUUUGCACAAAAGAAAGCAAAAUUACCGGUGAUGGAGGCAGAUUUGGAACCAGGCUUCGCGUGGAUGGUGAUGGCGACGGAGGAAGGCGUAAGGAGGCGCAAACAUGCCGGAAAGCUCGAAGUGUUAUCGGCGGUGGGUUUUACCGUCGUUGAUGCGGCCGAAUUGCUCUUCUUUCCUCUCUUCGUCGGAGCCAUGUUUUUUUAUCCGGCGAAGGAGGCUUCCUUUCUUAAUCGGUGGAAUCUUGUGUUUUUAUUUCAUAGGCUUUUUAGAAGGUCCAUUGGGCUUUGGAUUUGACGACGGAAUCAUUAUUUUUAUAACAUUUAUUUCUUCUUCUUUUUCGGUUAAAUGUUAAAUAUUAUACCAAGUUGUGACAGAAAUUACAAAGAAAACUACGGAAAUUAAACUAAACAUCAAAACUUAAUACAGAAAAAAAAGAUUCAACUGGCAACGGGAAUUCAAACUUUGAUUACAAACAUGAUUUGAACAAAAUGAUCUACAUCUGACUAAACAUCUUUAGCUUUGCUCGACCACCUCUAAACCGGCGCAUUCCGCUAAAUAGUUCAGUUAUCCUUGGACUAUCAAUCCCCGUUCUCAACCGUUGAUAGAAAGCAUUCGAGGGUGGCGUUCACCAAGUUUCCUUGGUUGCCGGUUCAUCUUAUGCCAUCAACAGAUUAGCUGGAUCUUGAUGAUCUCCUCACGCUCGCAAUCUCAGCUGACACUAAGCGCAUAGUUGAGUGAAUAGACCCGAGAGUUCAUACCUGAAAAAACCGGACUGGACGCCAUGGCGUGAGCACUCAACACCUAACAAGACCGGUUGAACUAUAGCUGCCUUUUCUCGUCGAAGCGGUACCUGUACCUGCAGUAAGAAGAAAGAAGGCAUACUACCGAAGCUUGCAAGGACAAAUUCCGAUAAUGGGAAGAACAACACUCCAAGUGCGUCGCCACGGACAGAGAUGAAGACUCCGGAGACUCACGAAGCACCACUAAUGUCCUCGCACUCCACCUCUUAGAACAAGAGGGAGGUUCUUCACUCAAAACCGUAGCCAACGGUGCGACGUUGGCCACACUAACCAUGAAGAACAAUACCCAAGAACUCUUCACCUAGGGCGUGCACUCCCAGAGAAGAGAAACCACCAAACAAGGCCAUGAACUGAAAGGCGAAGACCGGAGCAAAGUACCAAGAAGUGACGCCAAAGCGCAGACAACUCCACGCGCCACCAAGCCUGCUACUUUACACGCACCGUCGGAUACUUCAAACGACACUGCCGGAGGAAGCGAGACCGACGCACGCCUUGAAGGUAAACUACCGUCAAAGUCCGAACUGAGCGGAGUAGAAAGACUCCUCCUGCACCGAGACACCAAGGCGGAGGAGACAGAGCCGACACCACCGCACCACACAGACAAUGAUCCGAACAGAUCUGUGUCAAGGGAGCCGAUUCAGAGAAGCACGCGCCAGCAAGCUCCGGCUAGAUCCAGAUCGAGCAAAGAGGAAAAACGUCAAUCUGAAUCAAACCACCGUAAAAGCCGACCUCGCCACAUCCUGACCACCUUAGCCUCACCGCCACUCCGGAGGAAGCCGACCACCUGACAGAGCCAUCACCAGCGUCCCGGAUCUGAAGAUCUGAUGGUGGAUCGACUCUUAGAGUCUUAGCAUAUCGGACAAAGAGAUUUGAGGAGCUUAAGAGGCAAAAAAAAACGAGAUAAGGGGGAGAGGGGCCACCGGCAACGGCUCUGACACCGCUACCGGAGGAAAACAGAGCAACGGUUUGUGUCGAUUUGCUUCUACCGCAAUUUUUUCGAAGCAGGUUUUUUUUCUUCUUCUUAGCUUAACAAACUAAUGCUACUGUUAGGCCAUCGUAGUUCAAAAUUGGUGGAAUUGAUCUUAUAGAUACGGAUCUCCAGCUGGUUUCUUCUCAAGCUGCUACUGUGGAUAUUAGAAGAACCAAGCUGUUUGAAAAGUUCGUUUAUGCUUUAAUAGUUUGUCCCCUAAUCUUGGAUCUUUGAUGGCAAACAUGCUACAUAAAGCUUCCUUCUUUCAUGCCGGAGAAAGGAGCUAAGCUCAUCUGAUGAUUAGAGUUUAGAGCAUAUAUCUCUCGAUAAAAAUGGUGUUGCUACGAGCAUUGCUAUCAGCGUUACGCGGGUUCAUCGCUACCAAUCUUAUCUUGCGACUUGGGUCCCCACUAGCUACUAAUCCACUAUCCGAACAGAGGCUGUCAAUGGAGUCUCCAUGACUGGUUGACGAGCCUCUAGCAUGUUUCCUUUGUUUAUGCUUUGUUUGGGCACCUACUGGUGUUCUUUAUUUUCUGUUUUUUUCUUCUUUUAAUUUUGGUAACAUAUUCCUCCCAAUUCUCUGUUAAUGAGGUAUGUGUUGUUAGGGAGGCAGUUUGUUCUUUCUAAACUUCACAUUAUAAAAUACCAGUGUUAAAAAAAAAAGAAGAAUUUUGCUAUCAUUUCCGAAGGUAAACCACCGCAGAAAGACACUUUUGUCAAGCAAGUCAAUCAUUUUCUUCGAUUUCAGAUUAAAUCACUAUGAACUACUUAGCCCACAUAUCGACAUCCUACUACCCGAAAAUCUCUCUGAUCUCUAACACCUUUCUAUUUCUCAUAUUCUCCGGAAGAUAUACCAUUGUUUAUCAUUAGGGUUGGUUCAGAAUACUAUGCUCCUAUCAUGCGUCAUGCCGGCUCCGUGCAAUGGAGGUUUUCUUCUAGCGUGAAACCCCUACAAUGAUGUUAGGUAGAAUGACUGCAGUUGUGGCCGUCCUCUAUGGAAAAAUAUAUGUAAUGGGAGGUUGCAGGGCAGAUGAAUCUACGCAUUGGUCAGAGGGUUUCGAUACUAAGAUCAGAAUUGGGAAUCUUUACCUGACCCUGGCCCUGAGCCCCCCUUCUCUAAAAUCAAAGCAAUAGACGUGGUAGAGAGAAGUAUAUGUUAUAUAAGCAAUGAGCAUGACUAUGGUUAUUAUCCGAAUGCAGGUAAAUAGGAUGUUACAGGAAAAAAAAAAGAUUGGUGAUGUGUGACAGAGAAUAUAAGGUAUUGUUUAGUUGAGUAAAGAUUCUUCAGGUUUGUCGUUCUCACGAUUCCCAGUUCAUACGGUUUCUUCCGUACUCGACUGACUUAGUUUUGGUCAAAUAAAAAUGUAAUCAUACUCGGUAAUUGCCAAAAACGUCGUUUUUAGUAUUCUUAAAGCUAAUAGCUUUCUUUGUAUUCAACAAAAUACCAGAUAGCCUACUAAUGUACACAACUUUCACUUCAAUGAAGUAAAGAUAAGUAAGGAUGAACAAAGACAUAGAGAAGCCAUCCUAAAUCCCAAGUUAAAAAGUUCACUCUAUGGCUUCAGAUCAAUUAGGAGUAUAGACUAAACACAACUUGGUAAUAACAAGCAAUAGUCUAAAGAUAUAACCAUAGUAUACCUGACCAAUGAUCUCUCUAUUACAAGUCUGAAAAAAUCUUCAUCAACCACUUAAACUUCUAGUGCUUCGUUUCCUCCACAAAGUUACAGUCUUGGGGAGACUUUUAAGUAGGUUUUGAUGCUUCGGACAGAGCUUGGAAGACUCUUUGUUGGGUCAUAUCCUCGACAAUCAAAACUUUAUCUCGACACUUGGAUCCUGAACCCAAUGAAACUUGUCUUCUUUUCACCCCCAACACCUGUUUCACAUAACAUGUCAGAAUAAGAACGUGACUGAGAAACCCCAAACAAUUACAUCACAAAAUUAAACUAUGUGAGUAGUGACUAAUCCAUGAUUCAGCUAUAUAACGAAAGCUGAAAACUUUUUAUGCG